AGUGAACGCUGGCGGUAGGCCUAACACAUGCAAGUCGAACGGCAGCACAGUAAGAGCUUGCUCUUACGGGUGGCGAGUGGCGGACGGGUGAGGAAUACAUCGGAAUCUACUUUUUCGUGGGGGAUAACGUAGGGAAACUUACGCUAAUACCGCAUACGACCUACGGGUGAAAGCAGGGGAUCUUCGGACCUUGCGCGAUUGAAUGAGCCGAUGUCGGAUUAGCUAGUUGGCGGGGUAAAGGCCCACCAAGGCGACGAUCCGUAGCUGGUCUGAGAGGAUGAUCAGCCACACUGGAACUGAGACACGGUCCAGACCCCUACGGGAGGCAGCAGUGGGGAAUAUUGGACAAUGGGCGCAAGCCUGAUCCAGCCAUACCGCGUGGGUGAAGAAGGCCUUCGGGUUGUAAAGCCCUUUUGUUGGGAAAGAAAAGCAGCAGGUUAAGACCCCGCUGUUCUGACGGUACCCAAAGAAUAAGCACCGGCUAACUUCGU
rnacentral:rRNA from 1 species